AGUGAACGCUGGCGGUAUGCCUAACACAUGCAAGUCGAACGGCAGCACAGUAAGAGCUUGCUCUUACGGGUGGCGAGUGGCGGACGGGUGAGGAAUACAUCGGAAUCUACUUUUUCGUGGGGGAUAACGUAGGGAAACUUACGCUAAUACCGCAUACGACCUACUGGUGAAAUCAGGGGAUCUUCGGACCUUUCGCGAUUGAAUGAGCCGAUGUCGGAUUAGCUAGUUGGCGGGGUAAAGGCCCACCAAGGCGACGAUCCGUAGCUGGUCUGAGAGGAUGAUCAGCCACACUGGAACUGAGACACGGUCCAGACUCCUACGGGAGGCAGCAGUGGGGAAUAUUGGACAAUGGGCGCAAGCCUGAUCCAGCCAUACCGCGUGGGUGAAGAAGGCCUUCGGGUUGUAAAGCCCUUUUGUUGGGAAAGAAAAGCAGCAGGUUAAUACCCCGCUGUUCUGACGGUACCCAAAGAAUAAGCACCGGCUAACUUCGUG
rnacentral:rRNA from 1 species